CCCUUAGAUGUUCUGGGCCGCACGCGCGCUACACUGACGAAUGCAACGAGCUUAUAACCUUGGCCGAAAGGUCUGGGUAAUCUCCAAAUUUCGUCGUGAUGGGGAUAGAUUAUUGCAAUUAUUAAUCUUCAACGAGGAAUGCCUAGUAAGCGCGAAUCAUCAGUUCGCGUUGAUUACGUCCCUGCCCUUUGUACACACCGCCCGUCGCUCCUACCGAUUGAAUGGUCCGGUGAAAAUUUCGGAUACCGGCGUUGCUGGCGGUUCGCCGCCGGCGACGCUGGUAGAAGAUCUUUAAACCUUAUCAUUUAGAGGAAGGAGAAGUCGUAACA
rnacentral:rRNA from 1 species